GAUGAACGCUAGCGGCAGGCCUAAUACAUGCAAGCUGAACGGCAAGAUUUGUAGCAAUACGAGUCCUAGAGUAGCGUAAGGGUGCGUAACACGUAUGCAAUCUGCCCGCAACAGGAGGAUAGCUUAGCGAAAGUUGAGAUAAGACUCCAUAAGAUCACGAGAGGGCAUCUGAUUGUGAUUAAACUACAAGGGGUUNCGGAUGAGCAUGCGUCUGAUUAGUUAGUUGGCGGGGUAACGCCCACAAGACGAUGAUCAGUA
rnacentral:rRNA from 1 species